CCUGGCUCAGAACGAACGUUGGCGGCGUGGAUUAGGCAUGCAAGUCGAACGCGAACGGUUCUCUUCGGAGAAGCAAGUAGAGUGGCGUAAGGGUGAGUAAUGCUUGGAUGACCUACCCCCGAGACGGGGACAACAGUUCGAAAGGACUGCUAAUACCCGAUAGUCCGUCACGGUUUCGACCGUGCCGGUAAAUGGUGCUUCCGCUCGGGGAGGGGUCCAAGUCCUAUCAGCUUGUUGGUGAGGUAACGGCUCACC
rnacentral:rRNA from 16 species